CUUUAUUUAACGAGGAUUUACAGAUAUAAAGCUACAGUUAGUACAGCUUGUUUCCAAUCUGGUCCUCUUAAGUUCUAGAAAUAUAUUACAUCACAUGAUUACGAUACUGGCUCGUGCAGUUAUAACAUUCUUUAGAAACGUAGGAUAUAUAUAUACAGUCACGGAUGCGUCACAAACACACAACAUACAUACAGAUACAUCACAAUCACACAACAUUAACAAUAUAUUACUAUAACUAUAACUAUCAACAGUAUUAAAGUUUUUAUAUUAGUGUGGUCUUUUUGUGUUCAGUUCAGUCAUCUUAUAGCCAGUUUGUUCGUAAAGUGUUCUUUACAGAACGAUCUAAACCCGCGUGUUGUGACUGUUGUGGUACGUUUUUUCCCACGUCUGGAAAUUUGUUCCACAAGGAAGGAGUCAGAAAGGGUUUAUACAGGUAAACAUUUCCCAGACGAUACAUAAACCGAAAGUAAAUUUUGGAUUUGAUACAAACAUCGUCACUUGAGGCUGAUACAAAAUUAAACCGGAAUAUCAGUUCAUAUAGGUUAUCUGUUGAAACUGGUCGAUAUAUAUAGCAAUGU
rnacentral:lncRNA from 1 species